rnacentral:rRNA from 1 species
CCUACGGGAGGCAGCAGUGGGGAAUAUUGGGCAAUGGGCGCAAGCCUGACCCAGCAACGCCGCGUGAAGGAAGAAGGCUUUCGGGUUGUAAACUUCUUUUGUCAGGGAAGAGUAGAAGACGGUACCUGACGAAUAAGCCACGGCUAACUACGGGCCAGCAGCCGCGGUAAUACGUAGGUGGCAAGCGUUGUCCGGAUUUACUGGGUGUAAAGGGCGUGUAGCCGGGUUGACAAGUCAGAUGUGAAAUCCUGCGGCUUAACCGCAGAACUGCAUUUGAAACUGUUGAUCUUGAGUACUGGAGAGGCAGACGGAAUUCCUAGUGUAGCGGUGAAAUGCGUAGAUAUUAGGAGGAACACCAGUGGCGAAGGCGGUCUGCUGGACAGCAACUGACGGUGAGGCGCGAAAGCGUGGGGAGCAAACAGGAGUAGAUACCCCAGUAGUC